UUUAUUGUAUUUUAACCACCACUGCCACCCCCAUAAAAAGAGAGAAGAAUUACUGAAGUUAAUUGCUUAUCUAGGAUUAAGGUAAUGAAAUGAAGAUGAAGCUCUUCCAAGUAUAUUCAUGAUCAGCCAACAUAAAAUUUGCCUCAACCUUUGAGAUAUUACUCCUGCGACAAGAACCAUAAAGAGUGGCUGUGCCAUCAUGACUCUAUUUUCAAAAGGAGUGGACCAGACAGUGUGGGUGGAGAAAGAAAAAAAUUCAUAAGCACUUUCGGAUAAACUGCUCAAAGUAGUUGCACUACUGACAAGGGCUCAGCAUAGGCUUCUGCAUGGACGAGGACAGUUGACAUGACUGAGGUGUGAAACAUAAUGCAGAUAAUGCACAAGUUAUGCCCUUCAAGGCCAUGAAUAAUUGCGGCCAACCUUGGACAAGAAGUCGGGCAUCCCAAGAGUGGAAUUAAAAAAAAAAAUGAAGUCAACUCCUGAGCUACACAGAGAAUACCUGUACACACACUCUCUUCUGAGCCUCUGUGACCGCGGAAAACCAUGGGGGAGAUGAUGCGAACAGAGAGCCUCUCUUCUAGCCUCUGGCAAUUAUGAGCUAAAUGCUUCACGUGAUCCUCUGACUCCACACAACAAGCCUUGGGUCAUGUCCUAUUGCUGCCUCCAUCCCACCCAGUGUGUGUCGGUAAGGACAUCCUCCCUCCACAGAGUUGGACCUGUAUGUGAUCGGGCUCGGGGCAGGUCCAGGUCUGACCAAACUCUUAGCUGGGAACAGAUUCCUGAAAGCUCACUAUUGAAAAACAGCAGGCCAGUCUUCAGCCAUACCACCCUGAAUGCUUAGAUUGUGUCUGAAAAACAGCAGGCCCGAAGGUAUGAUACAGGGAGCUGGGUUGGGAGGAUCUAGGAAAUCUAACACAUGAGAAACGGCUGGAAGAACAAACACUGUUCAACAAGAAAAAGAGAAAUAGUUGAAGCACUUGAGUCAGAGAAGAG